rnacentral:rRNA from 1 species
UGCGUAGGUGGUCACUUAAGCGCAGGGUUUAAGGCAAUGGCUCAACCAUUGUAUGCCCUGCGAACUGGGGGACUUGAGUGCAGGAGAGGAAAGUGGAAUUCCUAGUGUAGCGGUGAAAUGCAUAGAUAUUAGGAGGAACACCGGUGGCGAAGGCGACUUUCUGGACUGAAACUGACACUGAGGCACGAAAGCGUGGGGAGCAAACA